rnacentral:rRNA from 1 species
UUGAAUGGGCGAAAGCUCGAUCCAGUUAUACGCAGUGAGUGAUGAAGGUCUUCGGAUUGUAAAGCUCUUUUAGUGGAGAAGAUAAUGACGGUAUCCACAGAAAAAGCACCGGCAAACUUCGUGCCAGCAGCCGCGGUAAUACGAAGGGUGCUAGCGUUGUUCGGAAUUAUUGGGCGUAAAGCGUACGUAGGCGGUUUAGUAAGUCGAUUGUGAAAUACCCGAGCUCAACUUGGGAAUUGCAAUCGAAACUGCUUUGCUAGAGUUUAGUGGGGGAUAGUGGAAUUCCUAGUGUAGGGGUGAAAUCCGUAGAGAUUAGGAGGAACAUCAGUGGCGAAGGCGACUAUCUACUCUAACACUGACGCUAAGGUACGAAAGCGUGGGGAGCAAACAGGAUUAGAUACCCUGGUAGUCCACGCAGUAAACUAUGAGUGCUAGUUGUCGGGGUCUUAGAUUCCGGUGGCGAAGCUAACGCGUUAAGCACUCCGCCUGGGGACUACGGUCGCAAGACUAAAACUCAAAGGAAUUGACGGGGACCCGCACAAGCAGUGGAUCAUGUGGUUUAAUUCGAUGCUACACGAAAAACCUUACCAANCCUUGAAUCUGGAUGACCGGUACAGA